GUCAUAAAUUCGGGUCAAUGACGCUUUAAUAAAAUUAGAAAUAAGUAACUUUGUGAUUCUCCUGUCAAAAGUUUUCUUUUAUAUGUUCAAUCGCAAAAUGCAUAUGUUGAAUGUACCUUAUGCCUAGAAGAGAUUGCUUAAUUUAUGUUUUAGCGUUUUAAUCCUAAGGAGCAAAAAAAUUUCGUGACAUGUUUUUCAUUCAAUUAGUUAAAUUUCUAAAAAAUCCAAACAAAAUUUACCAAAUUUGCCAUUGGAAUUGUACGGUAAAUGCCUUAUUUCUGUAUCGGUUUCCCAGGAAUAUAAGUGAUUAGACAUUUCGUUUAAAGAUAAAAAGUCUUAGACUAGGUUACUAAAUAUAUUUUAUUCAAAAUAUUUGUUCCAGCAAUCAAUAAUCUCAUUAUAGCCAUU